rfam:Actinomyces sp. VTL4_2 Scaffold2, whole genome shotgun sequence.
GCCUCCAUAGCUCAGCGGAUAGAGCAGCGGGUUUCUACCCCGCGUGUCGUGGGUUCGAGUCCUACUGGGGGCG